AUACGGAGGGCCCAAGCGUUAUCCGGAAUCAUUGGGUUUAAAGGGUGCGCAGGCGGCUUAUUAAGUCAGUGGUGAAAUCUCGGGGCUCAACUCCGAAACUGCCAUUGAUACUGAUAAACUUGAGUUCAGUUGGAGUAGGCGGAAUGUGUAGUGUAGCGGUGAAAUGCUUAGAUAUUACACAGAACACCGAUAGCGAAGGCAGCUUACUAAACUGAUACUGACGCUGAGGCACGAAAGCGUGGGGAGCGAACAGGAUUAGAAACCCCAGUAGUCC
rnacentral:rRNA from 1 species